rnacentral:tRNA from 1 species
GGGGAUUUAGCUCAGUGGCGGAGCGCUUGCCUAGCAAGCACAAGGCCCUGGGUUCAGUUCCCAGCUCCG